rnacentral:tRNA from 1 species
GUCAACUUAGUAUAAUGUGUAUAGUAUGAAAAAUUGUAAAUUUUUAGGUGUAAUUCAGUUGGAA